GCGAGGUGACGAUAAAAUUCAAUGGUCUGUCAAUCCACUGACAAAUUUUGAUUGAUGUUAAACAUUGAAUCCCGACAGGUUCCGAUCGCUUUUCUUUUUAUCCAAAAUUUUAGUUUCUUUUUUACAAUUUUUUUUAUUAUGAAGUUGAUUUUUAUUUUUUAACCUGGCGUGUGAUGAAUCUCUAAUAACAAAUGGGUAAUUUGCGUCUGAAAGUUUUUCAUUGAUGCUACAUCACCUUGGAGAACUGAUGCCUGCU
rnacentral:lncRNA from 1 species